AUGUUUGCCCAAACGCGACCGACCCAAAAUUAACCCGCCGACUCAAAUUCUUUUUUUGACGUUUUUUAGAAGAAUUUUUUUUUUUUGCGGAUUUUUUUCGUGUUCGCUCCGUCAUCGUAUAAAACUUAAAGUUUGUCGUCUUUGCGUUUGAAAGUAACUGUGAAUACGAUUAAAAGAAAGCGCAUAAGAGAUGCAGUUAAUCGAUAUUCGAUGUUCUCAGUUUUUAUCUUCUGACUUAUAUGUAACGAACGUAAAGAAGUGAAACAUGUGAAGUGGCACAUUUUUUACGCUGUAGUUGUCUGUACUACCAAACCCUUACCUAUAUGUUCAAUGUUA
rnacentral:lncRNA from 1 species